UGGGAGAACAGGUGGCAUUUCUGUGCCCAGAU
rnacentral:piRNA from 1 species